rnacentral:rRNA from 1 species
UAGCCGCGGUAAUACCAGCUCUCCGAGUGGUAGGGACGAUUAUUGGGCUUAAAGCGUCCGUAGCCGGCUCGACAAGUCCUCCGUUAAAUCCAGCGAUUCAAUCGUUGGACUGCGGGGGAUACUGCCGGGCUUGGGGACGGGAGAGGCCGACGGUAUUCUCGGAGUAGGGGUGAAAUCCUAUAAUUCCGGGAGGACCACCAGUGGCGAAGGC